GUGGGGAAUCUUCCGCAAUGGACGAAAGUCUGACGGAGCAACGUCGCGUGAGUGAAGAAGGUUUUCGGAUCGUAAAGCUCUUUCGUUAGGGACGAACGUGCUCUUUGUGAAUAAUGAGGAGUAAUGACGGUACCUAAAUAAGAAGCCACGGCUAACUACGUGCCAGCAGCCGCGGUAAUACGUAGGUGGCAAGCGUUGUCCGGAAUUAUUGGGCGUAAAGCGCGCGCAGGCGGGAUAUCAAGUCUGUCUUAAAAGUGCGAGGCUCAACCUCGUGAGGGGACAGAAACUGGUAUUCUUGAGUGUCGGAGAGGAAAGUGGAAUUCCAAGUGUAGCGGUGAAAUGCGUAGAGAUUUGGAAGAACACCAGUGGCGAAGGCGACUUUCUGGACGAUGUCUGACGCUGAGGCGCGAAAGCUAGGGGAGCGAACGGGAUUAGAUACCCGUGUAGUCC
rnacentral:rRNA from 1 species